rnacentral:rRNA from 1 species
CUCCAACCCCUGUGACAUACCAAUUGUUGCCUCGGCGGAUCAGCCCGCUCCCGGUAAAACGGGACGGCCCGCCAGAGGACCCCUAAACUCUGUUUCUAUAUGUAACUUCUGAGUAAAACCAUAAAUAAAUCAAAACUUUCAACAACGGAUCUCUUGGUUCUGGCAUCGAUGAAGAACGCAGCAAAAUGCGAUAAGUAAUGUGAAUUGCAGAAUUCAGUGAAUCAUCGAAUCUUUGAACGCACAUUGCGCCCGCCAGUAUUCUGGCGGGCAUGCCUGUUCGAGCGUCAUUUCAACCCUCAAGCCCAGCUUGGUGUUGGGACUCGCGAGUCAAAUCGCGUUCCCCAAAUUGAUUGGCGGUCACGUCGAGCUUCCAUAGCGUAGUAGUAAAACCCUCGUUACUGGUAAUCGUCGCGGCCACGCCGUUAAACCCCAACUUCUGAAUGUUGACCUCGGAUCAGGUAGGAAUACCCGCUGAACUUAAGCAUAUCAAUAAGCCGGAGG